UACGUAGGUGGCAAGCGUUGUCCGGCAUUACUGGGUGUAAAGGGCGUGUAGGCGGGGGUAUAAGUUGGAUGUGAAAUUCCUGGGCUCAACCCGGGCGCUGCAUCCAAAACUGUAUCUCUUGAGUGCCGGAGAGGAAAGCGGAAUUCCCAGUGUAGCGGUGAAAUGCGUAGAGAUUGGGAGGAACACCAGUGGCGAAGGCGGCUUUCUGGACGGUAACUGACGCUGAGGCGCGAAAGCGUGGGGAGCAAACAGG
rnacentral:rRNA from 1 species